rnacentral:pre_miRNA from 1 species
UGAAACAUUUUUAUGAUUAGUAUUUUUAUUGCUAUUAAAUGAUAAAACAUUAAUAGUAAUUUAUGUGUGACUAAUUUUUUUUUAAAAAAAUAUAAUUUUUUUAAAUAAGACAGAUGAUCAAAGUUGUACACACAUAUCCACGACUGCACUUAUU